rnacentral:rRNA from 1 species
UACGGGGGGGGCAAGCGUUGUUCGGAAUUACUGGGCGUAAAGGGCGCGUAGGCGGCUUUGUAAGUCGGGGGUGAAAGCCUGUGGCUCAACCACAGAAUUGCCUUCGAUACUGCAUGGCUUGAGACCGGAAGAGGUUAGUGGAACUGCGAGUGUAGAGGUGAAAUUCGUAGAUAUUCGCAAGAACACCAGUGGCGAAGGCGGCUGACUGGUCCGGUUCUGACGCUGAGGCGCGAAAGCGUGGGGAGCAAACAGG